UACGUAGGGUGCAAGCGUUGUCCGGAAUUAUUGGGCGUAAAGCGUGCGCAGGCGGCUUUGCAAGUCAGAUGUGAAAUCCCCGGGCUCAACCUGGGAACUGCAUUUGUGACUGCAUGGCUGGAGUGCGGCAGAGGGGGAUGGAAUUCCGCGUGUAGCAGUGAAAUGCGUAGAUAUGCGGAGGAACACCGAUGGCGAAGGCAAUCCCCUGGGCCUGCACUGACGCUCAUGCACGAAAGCGUGGGGAGCAAACAGG
rnacentral:rRNA from 1 species